UACGUAGGGUGCAAGCGUUGUCCGGAAUCAUUGGGCGUAAAGCGCGCGUAGGUGGCUUUGUAAGUCCGUUGUGAAAGUCAGAGGCUCAACCUUUGAAUGCCGAUGGAUACUGCAGAGCUAGAGUACGGAAGAGGCGAGUGGAAUUCCUGGUGUAGCGGUGGAAUGCGCAGAUAUCAGGAGGAACACCAAUAGCGAAGGCAGCUCGCUGGGACGUACUGACACUGAGACGCGAAGGCGUGGGGAGCGAACGGG
rnacentral:rRNA from 1 species